CGUGAUGCAGACGUUUCUUGUCCACGUUUUUCUUUCGUACGUUGACGAGGAAGGAGCUGAAACUUUUCGCUUUUAAAUAAGCAUUUUCUUAAACAACGAUUUUGAUUUCGUUAUAUUUCACACAUUUUUCGCGUUGUGGUUUUGGAUAUUGAACUUUUCUGGUAAUUACCGACGGCUUGUAUUUUUGGUAAUGUGCCCUGAAAUCAUGACCUUAAAAGGAAGUAACGUUAACCAGAAAAACAUGGACACCACAUCUGUGAAUAGGAGAUGGUCGAAAUCAAAAAGGAAGCCUUUUUUCAGUACGCAUAUGAGGAGAGCCAGCAUCAGAAAUUGCAGUGCUUUUGUCGUGAGGAGGCAGCAAGGCCGCGCGUGGCCCGCACGGAAAUCCCAUCAGGCCCGAGAUCCUGGCGACAAUUCUUCGGUGAGAAACCAUUGUUCUGUACCAUCUGGUGCCAUGGCACCAAAAAACACUACAGAGUAUUUGAUGGACCUUGUUUACGAGCGAUCGGAUGUUUCAAUGGAGUCUUUUGAUAUCUUUGGAGUUUCAACAGAGAGACUUCGAGAGCGUGUACUUCAGGAAUGAAAUUUGACGUGGUCAUCGCAACCUGGCCUGAUUUCGUCAGAAGGAGACAAGAGUGCAGUCGUUUUACCAUAGACAGUAAAAUCAUUGCGCAGGCUCCAAGUCACGGAGGCCGGACGCUCUGCGUCACAGCUGCGCGAUGACGUGUAUGCCAUGCCCCGCCCCAUGUGCGGUCAUCAUCACGUGGCUUGCAGGUAAACCCGCUUCACCCUUUCAGGUGUACGAGGUGUAAUGCAAAGAACGUUGCAGUAACGUCACAAAUGUCAUUUCUAGAAAUGUGCAUGCACUGUUAUACCAUAGGAUACAUGUGUUUGAGAGACUUUUGCAGGUUGCUGAUCAUCCUCGGUUACUCUCCGCUGUCUGUGCAACGCGUGCAAAGCCUCUGGACAAAGCCACAUGGCCUUCUGGUCAACAGUGUUGGGUAAUUGUUCAUGUGAUAACUGUUUAAUAGUCCUUUUGCACAGUGUAAUCCUGUUUCAUAACGUUCUGUGAUAUACUUCAUUUUGUGAAAAUAAACUGUAAAUAUUGAUUGUAUUAAUGAUUAAAGAUUGUUUAAAAUAUUAAAACUAUUUAAUACUACAA